ensembl:lncRNA
CUCUGCUGUCUCCGCUGCAACCAGACGACCUUGGAGAGAGUGAGUUUGUCCACAGUGUCAGGUGAAAAGGUCACUUCCUGCAUGCCGCAUCUCCCCUCAGCGGGAGGAUAAACAUUUGGACCAAGGGGGAUUAGGAUCACAUGACCUGGAAACAUGGCCGCCUGUGUGGGAAAGCAUUGCUGCAGGCCGGACGGAUCUCUGUGGAAACGACCGGGCUGAAUGAAGCUGAGCCCUCCGUGCUGGACCGGGCCCAGGGAGUAUUUUCGGUUGGAAGCUGAUGAAUAUGUAUGGAACGCUCCAUCCCAAGCCCUCUUCAAACAUCCCCGCGUUUGGAGGUGUCUAAAAGCGUCUCACGGCCGGCAAAACAUCUGUCGGAAGAGUCUCGAAGCCACGGACACAAACAGAGGUUGCUUUGAGCAGCGCAGCCGCUGGGUCUGCCCACUAGUGCUGUGUGUUCUCUGUCACCUCACCAGCUGUAGACAUCCUCCUUCUCCACACUGGGAUUCAUCCAAUGAGGGUAGAAAUGUAACUUUGGAAGUUUAAUUUGAGAAUUGUCUAGUGAAUAUAUUCGUUUCAUAUCGAGUUUCUAUGGACAUAAUAUGGACCAACACUAUAAAUAGCCACACUAUUAAACGUUUCUUUAAUAUAAGCCCUACUAGUAACAAAGGUAUAGGCUUGUAGGCUACAAAUUAGAGAACGAGAAGGCUAAGGGGCUAAUGGAGACGGCCCAUCCCUAGUCUUCUCCUAAAUUAAAGACUUCAUUCACCUUGGAAUGCUCCCAGAAUCAGGUUUUCAUGAUUAUUAUUUUCAUAACUAGAAUUUCUGGCAGGGGAGAGAAGAAAGGCACAAAGGAAUCUAUACCGCAAAGGCCUGAAUGAAAAAAAACGAUUAAGUAAAUUGGGGAACAGAAUGUAUCAAAGUAAAUGGUCAAAUGUAUUUAAGACAUGCCGGGAACUGUAUAAUGCACACGAUAGG